rnacentral:rRNA from 1 species
UACGUAGGGGGCCAGCGUUGUCCGGAAUCAUUGGGCGUAAAGAGCUCGUAGGCGGUUUGUCGCGUCUGCCGUGAAAGUCCGGGGCUCAACUCCGGAUCUGCGGUGGGUACGGGCAGACUAGAGUGAUGUAGGGGAGACUGGAAUUCCUGGUGUAGCGGUGAAAUGCGCAGAUAUCAGGAGGAACACCGAUGGCGAAGGCAGGUCUCUGGGCAUUAACUGACGCUGAGGAGCGAAAGCAUGGGGAGCGAACAGG